AGGACGAACGCUGGCGGCGUGCUUAACACAUGCAAGUCGAACGAGGCGCUUGCGCCUAGUGGCGAACGGGUGAGUAACACGUGAGCAACCUGCCCUUGGCUCUGGGAUAGCCUCCGGAAACGGGGAUUAAUACCGGACAUGACCUGUGAUUGCAUGAUCACGGGUGGAAAGUUUUUCGGCCAGGGAUGGGCUCGCGGCCUAUCAGCUUGUUGGGGGGUAACGGCCCACCAAGGCGACGACGGGUAGCCGGCCUGAGAGGGCGACCGGCCACACUGGGACUGAGACACGGCCCAGACUCCUACGGGAGGCAGCAGUGGGGAAUAUUGCGCAAUGGGGGGAAACCCUGACGCAGCGACGCCGCGUGCGGGAUGAAGGCCUUCGGGUUGUAAACCGCUUUCACCAGGGACGAAGCGAGAGUGACGGUACCUGGGGAAGAAGCGCCGGCUAACUACGCGCCAGCAGCCGC
rnacentral:rRNA from 1 species